rnacentral:rRNA from 1 species
GACGAACGCUGGCGGCGUGCUUAACACAUGCAAGUCGAACGAGGUGGCGAACGGGUUAGUAAUACGUGGGUAUCCUGCUCUCCUUUUUGGGAUAAGCGUUGGCAACGGGGUCUAAUACCUACUAAUGGGGGAUGGGCGUGCGGCCUAACAGGGGGUGGGUGGGGUGAUGGCCUACCAAGGCGGUGACGGGUAGCCGGCCUGAGAGGGGCACCGGGAACGUUGGGAGGGCGAGACGGCUCAGGCAGGUACGAGAGGGGGCAGUGGGGUAUAGGGCGAAAGGCGGGAGAGGCUAAUGCGGGGGAGCGGCGAGGGGGAUGAGGGCUUUCGGGUUGUAAACCUCGGUCGCUAGCGAACGGGUAGCUGGAGAAGAAGCGCCGGCUAACUACGUGCCAGCAGCCGCGGUAAUUC